CGCGUAGGUGGUAGCGUAAGUCUGGGGUGGAAUCCCAGGGCUCAACCCUGGAACUGCCUUGGAAACUGCAUUACUUGAGUCAGUGAGGGGAGGGUAGAAUUCCUGGUGUAGCGGUGAAAUGCGUAGAUAUCAGGAGGAAGGCCUGUGGCGAAGGCGGCCCUCUGGCGCUGGACUGACACUGAGGCGCGAAAGCGUGGGGAGCAAACAGGAUUAGAUACCCUGGUAGUCCACGCCCUAAACGGUGGGCACUAGGUGUAGGGCUCGUAAGGGUUCUGUGCCGAAGGGAAACCAUUAAGUGCCCCGCCUGGGGAGUACGGCCGCAAGGUUGAA
rnacentral:rRNA from 1 species